rnacentral:rRNA from 1 species
UACACUCCUACGGGAGGCAGCAGUGGGGAAUUUUGGACAAUGGGCGAAAGCCUGAUCCAGCCAUGCCGCGUGCAGGAUGAAGGCCUUCGGGUUGUAAACUGCUUUUGUACGGAACGAAACGGCCUUUUCUAAUAAAGAGGGCUAAUGACGGUACCGUAAGAAUAAGCACCGGCUAACUACGUGCCAGCAGCCGCGGUAAUACGUAGGGUGCAAGCGUUAAUCGGAAUUACUGGGCGUAAAGCGUGCGCAGGCGGUUAUGUAAGACAGUUGUGAAAUCCCCGGGCUCAACCUGGGAACUGCAUCUGUGACUGCAUAGCUAGAGUACGGUAGAGGGGGAUGGAAUUCCGCGUGUAGCAGUGAAAUGCGUAGAUAUGCGGAGGAACACCGAUGGCGAAGGCAAUCCCCUGGACCUGUACUGACGCUCAUGCACGAAAGCGUGGGGAGCAAACAGGAUUAGAAACCCGAGUAGUCCCA